rnacentral:rRNA from 1 species
UGCGUAGGGGGCAAGCGUUGUCCGGAUUUAUUGGGCGUAAAGAGCGUGUAGGCGGUUUGGUAGGUCCGCUGUGAAAACUCGAGGCUCAACCUCGAGACGCCGGUGGAAACCAUCAGACUAGAGUCCGGAAGAGGAGAGUGGAAUUCCUGGUGUAGCGGUGAAAUGCGCAGAUAUCAGGAAGAACACCCGUGGCUAAGGCGGCUCUCUAGUACGGUACUGACGCUGAGACGCGAAAGCGUGGGGAGCGAACAGG